AGCGAACGCUGGCGGCAGGCCUAACACAUGCAAGUCGAACGAACUCUUCGGAGUUAGUGGCGGACGGGUGAGUAACACGUGGGAACGUGCCUUUUGGUUCGGAAUAACUCAGGGAAACUUGUGCUAAUACCGAAUGUGCCCUUCGGGGGAAAGAUUUAUCGCCAUUAGAGCGGCCCGCGUCUGAUUAGCUAGUUGGUGAGGUAACGGCUCACCAAGGCGACGAUCAGUAGCUGGUCUGAGAGGAUGACCAGCCACACUGGGACUGAGACACGGCCCAGACUCCCACGGGAAGCAGCAGUGGGGAAUCUUGCGCAAUGGGCGAAAGCCUGACGCAGCCAUGCCGCGUGAAUGAUGAAGGUCUUAGGAUUGUAAAAUUCUUUCACCGGGGACGAUAAUGACGGUACCCGGAGAAGAAGCCCCGGCUAACUUCGUG
rnacentral:rRNA from 1 species